rnacentral:rRNA from 1 species
UUGGUAUCUUAGUGGCGGACGGGUGAGUAACGCGUGGGUAACCUGCCUUACACUGGGGGAUAACACUUAGAAAUAGGUGCUAAUACCGCAUAACAGGAGAAGACGCAUGUCUUUUCCUUGAAAACUCCGGUGGUGUAAGAUGGACCCGCGUCUGAUUAGCUGGUUGGCGGGGUAACGGCCCACCAAGGCGACGAUCAGUAGCAGGCCUGAGAGGGUGAACGGCCACAUUGGGACUGAGACACGGCCCAAACUCCUACGGAAGGCAGCAG